AUUGAACGCUGGCGGCAGGCCUAACACAUGCAAGUCGAACGAGUGGCGGACGGGUGAGUAAUGUCUGGGAAACUGCCCGAUGGAGGGGGAUAAAUCCUGGCAACGGUAGCUAAUACCGCAUACCAUCGGAUGUGCCCAGAUGGGCUUGGCUAGUAGUUGGGGUAAAGGCUCACCUAGGCGACGAUCCCUAGCUGGUCUGAGAGGAUGACCAGCCACACUGGAACUGAGACACGGUCCAGACUCCUGCGGGAGGCAGCAGUGGGGAAGAUUGCACAAUGGGCGCAAGCCUGAUGCAGCCAUGCCGCGUGUAGGAAGAAGGCCUUCGGGUUGUAAAGUACUUUCAGCGGGGAGGCGUUACCCGCAGAAGAAGCACCGGCUAACUCCGUGCCAGCAGCCGCGGUAAUUC
rnacentral:rRNA from 1 species